rnacentral:lncRNA from 1 species
AAAAAAAUUUAAGUUCCAGGGUACAUGUGCAGGAUGUGCAGGUUUGUUACAUAGGUAAACCUGUGCCAUGGUGGUUUGCUGCACCUAUCAACCCAUCGCCUAGGUAUUAAGCCCAACAUCCAUUAGCUAUUCUUCCUGAUGCUCUCCCUCCCCCAACCCCACUCCUCACAAGCCCCAGUGUGUGUUGUUUCCCUCCCUGUGUCCAUGUGUUCUCAUUGUUCAGCUCCCACUUACAAGUGACACCAUGCGGUAUUUGGUUUUCUGUUCCUGUGUUAGUUUGCUGAGGAUAAUAGCUUCCAGCUCAAAACUCUUGACAGUUCUCCCCCUCUCCCUCUGCCUCCUGCCCAACCCUGGGGCUUUCCCAGGUAACUCCCUGUGGCAUGUGGAGUCCCCAUGGAUCUGUGAGUAACAAACCAUCUUUGCAAUAGCAGUCAUUUCCUCAUCUUGGCCUUACCAUACCACAAUAAGAAUAAAACCUGUUAAAACAGAGAGAACAGAGGGAGAAAGGAAGGAGAAAAGGAAAAUGAAUGAAGAAGGAAUAAAGAAUGAGUAAUUAAAUGAACAAAUGAUAAGUUACUUAAAAUCUGCUUUUUCUUAGGAGGAGAAAGAACUAACAGAGAUGCAGAAGUCCUCUUCUACUCGGGCUGGGGAUAUGCAUGAGAAAGACACGCGUGGAUGCCGUAUGAGCUCUCGUUCUGAAUGCGGAAAUCUGACCUCCCACCGGAUACUCAGUUCAGGGGGCUCCUGGACCCUCCAGCUGCUCCUCUACUCAUCGCUCCCUCACUCAGAAAACCAGCAGAGAAGUGAACUUCCUCAAAUGACUGACGGUAAAUAUCCAGCAUGGAGCUGGAUUACAAAACUGUAUAAACUGUAAAUAGCAUCACGCUAUUCCCUUUUAAAGAAGUGUCAGUGCUUUUAUUCAUUAAGAUUCAGAUGCUAUGGAGGGGGCAGAUGCGCCUUCUCCCCUCCUGGAUCCCAAAUAAAACACCCCGUAUGGAAGCAGAUGGCUUUGUGUAAAUCAGAUGACAGUUUACGGAGUGAGACGGCCUCAUCGGAACGGCAUUACAAGUAUCAUCUUUUGAGGGGAAAUGGGGUUAAUCAAGUCCAGCUUUAAUUGGAGGUCACAUUUGCAUGUGAAAUUCUGGGUCCCUGUAAGGACUGCCUGGGUCCCUGGGUCAUCAGGCCAGUAACCUCUCCACCAUUUUCUUUCCAGAGGGAGCCCCAGGUAAUGCAUGAGAAAGGAAGUGUUAUAAGAAGCCAAGAAUGGGUGCCCCCCACCCCCCAACCAAGAGCCAGUUCUGUUAACACAGCAGAGAGCCCUCCCCAGGUCUCAAAGUCUCCCUGCCUUUGCUGCCACAGGUAAGAGGGGGUGGUUUUGCUCACUGCAAACCACAUAACAGAAACAACACCUGCUUGGGCACUUAACCCUGGAACGGGAAAGCUGAAAGUGGUUUCUGUUUAUUUUGAUCUCGAGCGUAAAAUGAAGAGCAAUCAUGUCCCUGGAGUCUCGGCAGAGGACAAACAAAGCUGAUGGAGGAAGACAAAGUCUGCUUUUUCAGGAUGCUUCAUGGGAGGCUGGGGUGUUAAGCGCUCCUCAGCCUGCCUGUGUGAUCUGAGAAACGGGGCGGGGGCAGGUGGGGCGGGGGCAGUGGCAUCAGGUGCCUGCCUCCCGCCGAGGGUAUUCACCAUUCAAAGCACAGGCGCGAAGAGCAAACAGCUACCAGACAGAAUCCUUUAGGUCUAGGCUAUUCCUUUCCUUUGAACCAGAGACAGGAACAGAACACCUUAGCCCAGCCUCCCUGCAACAUUCCAACACUUGAAUUGUAGGAUGGGAGUCCCAAUUUCCCAGACAUCAGGGCAAUAUUCUCCCAUUUCCUUACAACACUGGGUCAAUGUAAAGGUUAAAAAUUUAAAUAAAUAUAAAUAAAUAGGAGAUCAACAUCCUCCUUUCUUGGGAAAAUUCAGACAAUGCUACACAAAAGUUUGGAAGACGAGAUAUCUAAAGAUCACCCAGAAAAAAGAUAUAGGAGCAUGCUGUUUUCAUUAGGUUUCUUCAAAAAUCAGUGGUAUGAUUUCACAGUAUUUUGUUUCAUGGAAUAUAUUCACGAUAUUUGUUUCAUGGAAUAAAUUCAUGAUAUUUGUUUCAUGGAAUAUACUGGAUAUCUGUUUCAUGGAAUAUAUUCACGAUAUUUGUUUCACACAAUAUAUUCAUGAUAUUUGUUUCAUGGAAUAUAUUCACGAUACUUGUUUCAUGGAAUAUAUUAGGUAUUUGUUUCACUGAAUAUAUUGACUGUUACUCAGAAUCCUAACAUGCAAUGUCUUUCUUCAAAAGACAGUGUCAUGCAUUCCUUACAGUGGAUUUAUCAAUUAAUGCUGAGUCCCCAGCCAAGUGAUAAGUCAUACCAUCUCUCUUACUCCUUUUUUCUUAAUCCUUAAAAAAAAAAUUAGGUCCGCCCUCAGCCUUUAUAUUCCAAUUCUUCAUUCCACACUCCUGACUUUUUCCCAAGUUAUUCAAGGAUGGAAAAGCGUAUCAUCUCCAAGCUAGCUCUUUC